rnacentral:miRNA from 1 species
CAGUGUCCCAAUGUCUCUCAGUGUCCCCUAGUGUCCUAGUGACAUUGUGACACUGGGAGACAUGGGGACACAGACACUAAGGGACACUGGGAGACAUGGAAACACA